rnacentral:rRNA from 1 species
AUUGAACGCUGGCGGCAGGCUUAACACAUGCAAGUCGAGCGGAGAGAGGUAGCUUGCUACUGAUCUUAGCGGCGGACGGGUGAGUAAUGCUUAGGAAUCUGCCUAUUAGUUGGGGACAACAUUUCGAAAGGAAUGCUAAUACCGCAUACGUCCUCCGGGAGAAAGCAGGGGAUCUUCGGACCUUGCGCUAAUAGAUGAGCUUACGGCGGAUUAGCUAGUUGGUGGGGUAAAGGCCUACCAAGGCGACGAGCGGUAGCGGGUCUGAGAGGAUGAUCCGCCACACUGGGACUGAGACACGGCCCAGACUCCUACGGGAGGCAGCAGUGGGGAAUAUUGGACAAUGGGCGGAAGCCUGAUCCAGCCAUGCCGCGUGUGUGAAGAAGGCCUUAUGGUUGUAAAGCACUUUAAGCGAGGAGGAGGCUACUUUAGUUAAUACCUAGAGAUAGUGGACGUUACUCGCAGAAUAAGCACCGGCUAACUCUGUGCCAGCCGCCGCCGUAAUAC